GGGAAGCCGGUGUGAAUCCGGCACGGUCCCGCCACUGUGACCGGGGAGUGCGGUCCGCACGCACGCCACCGACGGAAGUCGGGAAGGCAGCGGGCCGCGCGGCGAUCCGGGAGUCAGGAUACC
rnacentral:ncRNA from 2 species